CAAUAGCGUAUAUUAAAGUUGUUGCGGUUAAAAAGCUCGUAGUUGGAUUUCGGCGGACAGGGGGCGGUUCGAUAUUUGUCGCUACUGCCCCAUUUGUCCGUGUUUUUGGCGGAGGUUUCAGGGUGCUCUUCACCGAGUGUCCUGGGGUGCCGUCAGGUUUACUUUGAAAAAAUUAGAGUGCUCAAAGCAGGCUUUACACGCUUGAAUAUUCGUGCAUGGAAUAAUGGAAUAGGACGUCGUUUCUAUUUUGUUGGUUUUCGGAAAUCGACGUAAUGAUUAACAGGGACAGUCGGGGGCAUUAGUAUUCAGACGACAGAGGUGAAAUUCUUGGACCGUCUGAAGACUAACUACUGCGAAAGCAUUUGCCAAGAAUGUUUUCAUUAA
rnacentral:rRNA from 1 species